UUGCAAAGAAAACAUCUAAGAGGGAGCCAUCUUAGCAACUAGUGCAGGUGACAUCCAAAAAUUUUUCUUUACACAUUAGCUUAUGCAUUUGCACCAUUUAUAUAUGUGAGUACUAAUGUUAUUUUAUAAUUGAUCGAUUAGUGUCCAAGACAAGAAGGAGGGUUCGAAUGUGGCUACUUUGUUAUGAGAUUCAUUAAAGAGAUAAUUUUUUAUCCUACAAUUAUUGCUUCAAAGUUUGGUAAUAAAAAAAAAAACAUAUUCUCAAGUAGAAUUCGAUGAAAUUAGAGGAGAAUGGGCUACUUUUGUGCUACAACUAAUCAUGAAUCAUGUUGAUGCAUCAUGAUCACCAUGCAUGGUAUACACUCUUGGGAGGGUGAAAUGGAGAAUAAAAAGGAAGAAGAAGGCAACAAGAUUUUGGGUUUUUAAAUGCAACUCUUAUGUCAUACGUUGUAGGACAUAAACGUUACUUUAAUUGCAAUUGAGAAAUUUAGAUUUUUAGAUGGGACUUUUAUGUCAUUUUAUGGUUAGCUGGUUUUAUGCUUAUGAAAUGGAGGUAUACAUGAAUCUUGGGAUCUUUAACAUUUCUAAAUCAUGUUUUGGUAUGUAUUCACUCUUCUUUUUUAGUUUUGAUGGGUUUGAUAUGUUGGACGUACUAUCCUUUUGUGAACAUUUGAUAUACAAAUAUUAUUAGAUGAUCAAUGUAUUAUGAGUUA